AUUGAACGCUGGCGGCACGCUUUACACAUGCAAGUCGAACGGUAACAGGGUGCUUGCACCGCUGACGAGUGGCGAACGGGUGAGUAAUGCGUCGGAACGCACCGAGUAAUGGGGGAUAACGCAGCGAAAGCUGUGCUAAUACCGCAUACGCUCUGAGGAGGAAAGCGGGGGACCUUCGGGCCUCGCGUUAUUCGAGCGGCCGACGUCUGAUUAGCUAGUAGGUGAGGUAAGAGCUCACCUAGGCGACGAUCAGUAGCGGGGCUGAGAGGAUGAUCCGCCACACGGGGACUGAGACCCGGCCCGGACUCCUACGGGAGGCAGCAGUGAGGAAUUUUGAACAAUGGGCGGAAGCCUGAUCCAUCCAUGCCGCGUGUCUGAAGAAGGCCUUCGGGUUGUAAAGGACUUUUGUCAGGGAGGAAAUCCUUAGCGCUAAUACCGUUGAGGGAUGACAGUACCUGAAGAAUAAGCACCGGCUAACUACGUGCCAGCCGCCGCCGUAA
rnacentral:rRNA from 1 species